AUUGCCCCAGUAACGGCGAGUGAAGCGGCAAAAGCUCAAAUUUGAAAUCCUGCGGGAAUUGUAAUUUGAAGGUUUCGUGGUCUGAGUCGGCCGCGCCCAAGUCCAUUGGAACAUGGCGCCUGGGAGGGUGAGAGCCCCGUCCGGCGCACGCCGACUCUUUGCACCGCGGCUCCGACGAGUCGAGUUGUUUGGGAAUGCAGCUCUAAGUGGGUGGUAAAUUCCAUCUAAAGCUAAAUAUUGGCGAGAGACCGAUAGCGAACAAGUACAGUGAUGGAAAGAUGAAAAGCACUUUGAAAAGAGAGUGAAACAGCACGUGAAAUUGUUGAAAGGGAAGGGCUUGCAAGCAGACACGGUUUUACCGGGCCAGCGUCAAAUAAACGGGGGGGAAAAGGGGGAAAGAAUGUGGCGCGUGCCUUCGGGUUCGCGUGUUAUAGCUUUCUCUAAUACCCCCAUGUUUGUUUGAGGCCUGCGAUUCUAGGACGCUGGCGUAAUGGUUGCAAGCCGCCCGUCUUGA
rnacentral:rRNA from 1 species